rnacentral:rRNA from 1 species
GAUCCUGGCUCAGGAUGAACGCUAGCUACAGGCUUAACACAUGCAAGUCGAGGGGAAACGACAUCGAAAGCUUGCUUUUGAUGGGCGUCGACCGGCGCACGGGUGAGUAACGCGUAUCCAACCUGCCCACCACUUGGGGAUAACCUUGCGAAAGUAAGACUAAUACCGGAUAGUAUCGAGAGAUUGCAUGAUUACCCGAUUAAAGAUUCAUCGGUAACGGAUGGGGAUGCGUUCCAUUAGGCAG